GUAAUGACUUACAUCGCUCAGGUGAUUCAAGAAUCCAAGACACAUUCAGCAGAGAACCUCCAUUUGAUGUUUGGACUCCAGAUUCACUCCAGGAGGGGGAAAGGAGCUGUAAACCUGAUUCUAUGAGAUGACCAGAUGACCCAUGUUUAGCAACAUGGUGCCAGAAGGAGCAGCAAAAGAAAAAAAGUCUGCCCAACAAUCACCACUUCCAGCAAAAACAUGGAAACAAACACCAACAAUAACAAUAGCGCUGACAGUGACAAUCUUUGCAGUAAUAGUAGAUAUAGCAGGAACAACAAGAAUAACUGAAGCACUGGUAGGAGCAUCAGUAGGAGCAGCAGCAGGAGUAAGCAUUUUACAAUUGCUAUGGGAAGCAGAAGCAAAAACAGGAGCAGUAGCAGUUGCAGGUGGCAUAGCAGGAACAGCAGCAGCAAUAUUGCGUUCACUGGCAGCAUCACAAUCACUAACUGCAUCAGCAGUAGCUGCAGCGACGGCAGGAGCUGCAACAGCAGCAGCAGCAAAAACAC